CUACGGGAUGCAGCAGUGGGGAAUAUUGCACAAUGGGCGCAAGCCUGAUGCAGCCAUGCCGCGUGUAUGAAGAAGGCCUUCGGGUUGUAAAGUACUUUCAGCGGGGAGGAAGGGAGUAAAGUUAAUACCUUUGCUCAUUGACGUUACCUGCAGAAGAAGCACCGGCUAACUCCGUGCCAGCAGCCGCGGUAAUACGGAGGGUGCAAGCGUUAAUCGGAAUUACUGGGCGUAAAGCGCACGCAGGCGGUUUGUUAAGUCAGAUGUGAAAUCCCCGGGCUCAACCUGGGAACUGCAUCUGAUACUGGCAAGCUUGAGUCUCGUAGAGGAGGGUAGAAUUCCAGGUGUAGCGGUGAAAUGCGUAGAGAUCUGGAGGAAUACCGGUGGCGAAGGCGGCCCCCUGGACGAAGACUGACGCUCAGGUGCGAAAGCGUGGGGAGCAAACAGGAUUAGAUACCCUUGUAGUC
rnacentral:rRNA from 1 species